UGGUCUUUCCUUCAUUUUUUUUUUUUCCCGGAAAACGAAAGAAAAUCCUCUGAACAAGUUGGGAAUCUUGGAGAGAGAAGAAGAGAGGAGAAAAUGAGGCUGGUGAAGCAGCAAGCAGCAGACAGAGCAGCUAGGGUUUUACUUCUACAUCUAAUUCUCUAGUUUUUAUAAUCUCUUAGCAUAUCCCGUUUGUGCAAAUAUCAAUUUCAAUGCUCAAAAGAGGGCAGCCAUUUUCAGCUUAGCUCGAAGUCCUUUUUCCCUUACAGGUUUUGCUACAGGUUAGUUUGUUGUUCUAAGGAAAAGGGUUGAAAAAAAGAACUGAUCUUGACAGGUUUAUACCAUCAUACCGCCGCUUGUAGCUUUUGACGACUUCGACAUUUAGGAUUGAUAUUCGCUGCUUCUUGGAUCACUUGGGUAUUGAUUUUCUGUGUUGAGAGCUGGGUAGAGCUAGUGUUCGAUAGUUUUGUAUUAUGACAUCAUUGUCAUCAAAGAACAUAUGGAUACAGCGGCAGCAAUGCCCGUGUGGGGAUUGGAAAUGCUUUGUUGCGUAUGAAGGCAAUAAUGAAGAGACCGCAGUUGCUUCCCAGUUAGCGAAGGCAAAAACGGCAUCGGCCGAGGCUAUGGUAGUCCCGUAUGUGGGGAUGGUGUUCAAGAGCGAUGACGAUGCAUUUGAGUACUAUGGCAACUUUGCGAGGAAGAAUGGUUUCUCCAUUAGGAAAGAGCGCUCGAGAUUGAGCCCUCAGUUGGGUAUAUACAAGCGCGACUUUGUUUGUUAUCGGUCUGGGUUUGCACCUGUGAGGAAGAAGCCUAGUGGAGAGCACCAUAGGGAUCGGAAGUCUGUCCGGUGCGGCUGUGAUGCAAAGAUGUACUUGUCGAAGGAGGUUGUGGAAGGCAUUUCGCAGUGGUGUGUUGUGCAAUUCAGUAAUGUUCACAAUCAUGAGCUGCUGGAAGAUGACCAGGUUCGUCUCUUGCCUGCUUACAGAAAGAUUCAUGAAGCUGAUCAAGAGCGGAUACUUUUGCUAUCUAAAGCUGGGUUUCCGAUUCAUCGCAUAGUAAAAGUCUUGGAAUUAGAAAAGGGGAUUCAAGGUGGACAAUUGCCAUUCUUGGAGAGGGAUGUUAGGAAUUUUAUUCAGAACAGGAAGAAAGUUGUUCAAGAAAAUGAUGCUUUGCUCAAUGAGAAGAGAGAAAACGAUAUAAUGGAACUUCUUGAGGCCUGCAAGGCCUCGAAGGAGGCAGAUGAAGGCUUUUGUUUUGAUUGUAGCGUGGAUGACAAUGACAAACUUGAGCACAUUGCUUGGUCAUAUGGCGAUUCAGUUAAUGCAUAUACCAUGUUCGGUGAUGUGGUGCAUUUUGACACGUCAUACCGAUCAAUCACUUAUGGUAUGUUGUUUGGGGCGUGGUUUGGCAUUGACAGCAAUGGCAGAAUGAUCAUUUUCGGAUGUGUUCUGUUGCAGGACGAGGCACCACGAUCAUUUGCCUGGGCUUUACAGAGUUUUGUCCGGUUUAUGAGAGGAAGAAGUCCCCAGACAAUCUUAACUGAUCUAGACCCAGGGCUCAGAGAUGCAGUUAGGGACAAACUACCAAACACAAAACACAUUACCUGCAUAUGGAAUAUUUCGCCCAAGGUAUCAAGUUGGUUCACUGUUCCACUUGGAUGUCAAUAUGCAGAAUUCAGAUCUGAGUUUGAUGCAUUGCAUUGUGUAGAGAAUACAGAAGACUUUGAGUUACGAUGGAAUGAAAUGGUUUCUCGGUUUGGACUGGGUUCAGAUAAACACAUUGCUUUACUUUAUUCAAUUCGGACUUCUUGGGCUUUGUGCUAUACGAGGGGUCACUUUCUUGCUCGAAUGACAACUGUUGCAUUUUUUAGAUCUGUAGAGUCAUUCCUGAAAGGAAUCUUCAGCUCAAAUGCAUGCUUGCGAAGUUUUUUUGACCAGGUAGGAAUAACAGCUAAUUUCCAAAACCAGUCACACCUUGAAAUGCAGUGUAUGCCUUCCAAAGCAUGCAUUCCAAUGGAAGAGCAUGCAUCGAGCAUUCUAACACCUUUUGCAUUCAAUGCUUUGCAAAAUGAACUUGUGCUGGCCAUGCAAUAUGCCAUGUCUGAAUUGGCCGAUGGUUCCUACCUUUUACACCAUUAUAAGAAGAUGGAUGGUGACUGUCUUGUCAUGUGGAUGCCAGAAGAAGAGCAAAUUCACUGCUCAUGUAAGGAAUUUGAAUCUUCAGGGAUUUUAUGCAGACAUGCCCUUUCUGUUUUUAUUAGAAAGAAUUACUUUCAACUUCCUGGUAAAUACUUCAUUACUAGAUGGCGCCGAGAAAGCUCUAUAACAUGUUAUGAUGAACCUGCACCUCAAGAUAGCGACAAUGAAUGGUUUCGAGAAUAUCAGUCCCUCAGUGAGUCACUGUUCACAGAAUCAUCUCUUACAAGGGGGCGUACCAAUUAUGUCCGCAGGGAAUUAAUGAAAGAAGUCAAAAGGAUCCUUGAAGAAGUUAGGAGCAUGCCAGAGAUCGAUGGUGUUGCAGUGGAUUUGACACUUUCUCCAACUGGACGAUCUUUCUGAUGGUGCUUGUUGCACUUGCAAGUGCCUGAGCUUCUUGCAUUUUUCACAUUAAGGAUUGAGCAGAUGAUUGAAAAUGGUCUGAAAUGUGAAGAGAAGUGAACAUCUUUUACUCCGUUUCCAUGGUCAAGAGCACGAGAGGGAGUGGACUGUACAUGCAGGGACUUGAUAUAGAAUUCAUCACUCUGCAAUCGCCCAUUGGUGGCUCCAAGUGAAUCACUCUUGAAGCUGAAGAUAAAGAACCGAGGAUGUGGACAUAGGCACAAGAUAUUUUGUGGAUAUAGUGAAGUGGUGCAGAAGUUGAAAAUGAUGAGCAGAGUUCUUGAGACCACAUAAGUGUACGGAGCUCAAGGAAUGGUCGGUUUUCACAACACUAGGAGAGAGAGGAACGUCUCCUUCACCAGGAGUUCUCAGCCAACAUGUCCUUUCCUUGUCACAUUAAAAUCUUGGCACUUCGGGGGGCUUGUCUUUUGUUUCGUUGCGAUGUAAAAUGGCCCUAAACUUUUUUCUUUGUUCCGAUUUGCUGUUGAUGCACAUGAAAUAGUCGUUCUUUGAAGGAAAGUAUUGCCAUGUGUAUUUGUGUUCAAGGAAAAACAAAAAAGUACUGAGCUUGUC